rnacentral:rRNA from 1 species
GACGAACGCUGGCGGCGUGCUUAACACAUGCAAGUCGAACGGAAAGGCCCUGCUUUUGUGGGGUGCUCGAGUGGCGAACGGGUGAGUAACACGUGAGUAACCUGCCCUUAACUUUGGGAUAACUUCAGGAAACUGGGGCUAAUACCGGAUAGGAGCUCCUGCUGCAUGGUGGGGGUUGGAAGGUUUCGGCGGUUGGGGAUGGACUCGCGGCUUAUCAGCUUGUUGGUGGGGUAGUGGCUUACCAAGGCUUUGACGGGUAGCCGGCCUGAGAGGGUGACCGGCCACAUUGGGACUGAGAUACGGCCCAGACUCCUACGGGAGGCAGCAGUGGGGAAUAUUGCACAAUGGGCGGAAGCCUGAUGCAGCAACGCCGCGUGCGGGAUGACGGCCUUCGGGUUGUAAACCGCUUUCGCCUGUGACGAAGCGUGAGUGACGGUAAUGGGUAAAGAAGCACCGGCUAACUACGUG